rnacentral:lncRNA from 1 species
CAUUGCCUCCGUUUUCGUGGACUUUUUUCUUGUUUUCUUUCCUUCUUAUUACUAAUUGCGGGAGGAUUUACCUUUUUUUUUAUUUAUCUAAUUAUUAAGGAUCAAGAGUAUUUUUACGUUUUUUUUUCUUCGUUUUUGCGCGUAACUUUGCAACGAUCGAUUCUGCAAAGCUUAUAUAAAGAUGAGUGAUUGAUUGAAAUAGAUAUUUAACGUUGAGUGAAAAUUUAUUUCGAGUAUGAAUGUAUUUUUUUUCUUUAUUUUUUGGUUUACGAGUAUCGGAUGAGGUUAUACAAUGUGUGUGUAUAUAUACAAUCUUUUUCGUUUCUAUACUUUUAUCUAAUGAACAAAGCGCAAACUCAAUCUUGGGACGCGAAAAAAAUCGCGCGUGUGCCAACGCGAUGCCAAUGUGAGACUAGCCUUAAUGAAAAACCAAUUUAGAUUUAUUUUUUAUUUUCUUAUAAAGAGAACGAAAAAUGCGACGACGGAAUCAAAAACGAAUUGUGAUUUCUUCGAAAUUCUCGAACUCGCCAGGCAAGAUUGAGUUUGACCCUGUGAUGAUGAUGAUGAUGAAGCUCGCGUUCGUGGAGCUUUUCUUUUAAAGAUGAAAAAAGCAAAGCGCGCGCGAAAAAAAUUCUGCCAAGGGCAUCGGUGUUUACAAUCGUAUGCUGAUUGGUGGCGAAAACAAUCUAUUUGCAAAUUUUUCCGUAGUACGUAAGUCAUUGUUGUUGCUUGGAAGGGAUUAUGGAGAGCGAAGAAAAUGUAUAAGCACAAGCGCAAAUUUAAAUGUCUUUUGAUUAUCGUUCGAUUCAGACUCGAGCGAGUCGUGCUCGCUCGAGUCGAGAGAUUUUAGUUUGAUCGCGUGGCUUGUCGUGCCUUACGAGCUUAUGUUUAAUUCAGCUUUAUCACAUUAUUAUAAACCGUAUUUGAUUGAUAAUAUAUAAUAAAUUAUAUUUUUUUCCUUUCCUUUUCUUUCUUUUUUUUUAAGUAGUACGCCGUUUACGUACAAAAAAUCAAAAUUCUUUUAGUUCAGUUCACGAGGAAUAUUCAUUCGAUCAAAGAGUUAUAUUGUGUAGAUCGUUACCCACUAUACCUACUUUUUUUAAUGCACAUAAAAAAUAAAACAAAAAACAAACGAUACAAAGUUUGUCUUCUCUCUGAGUUUUCUUCGCUGUCGGGCCAAGAAAGUACGUGUAUGAAUGUAUGUACGCAAAGUCUGUUUGUGCGAGUGAACGCGAGAGAGAUUAUACAAGGGAAAAACUAUAGACGAUACGCGAAGUAACCGUGUAAAUGGCAUUUACUUUUUCGUAGGAAUACAGUUUUUAAGCACACUUGGAGUCAAAGGCUUGAGAUUCUUUUCCCGGGUAGACUGAUACUCGUCGGGUCGAUGCUGUACUGUAAAUUUUUAAUUCAUCCAUUUACGUUUUAACCCGCCAAAAUUAUAAAACAAUGGUUUUUCUUUCUUUUAUCGACGAGACGACCCACGAUUUUGGGACUCAAUAUCCGAACCGAAUUUUGUAUACACACGUACGUGAAGGUCUUUCCUAUACACAAAAAGAAAAAAGCAAAACGUAAGCAUCGAUUUUUUUUCUCGCGCGCGAGACGGGAAAGAAACGAAGCCGGAGAUUCUCGGGGAAUAUGAAAUUAGCUGUGAUUAUUGACACCCUAUAUAGGUACUACUAAUUUUUAAUCGAGUACACGGUUUAAAACGAGACAAAAUAAUUAUUACUUGGAUAAUACAUAUUUAAGUAUAUGUAUAUAUACACGUCGAUACACACGCAUAUAUUAUAUUGUAUACUAUGUUAUGUACACGCGAGAUAAACAAACAAACAAACAAAAAAAUGCAUUAAAUUUAUAGGGGAGUGGAAAAUCAAGUAAUUAAGUAAAUAUUCUAAUUUAAAUAUAAAGUCAAUAGAGAAAGAGAGGCGACAUCAACGAUACCACGAGAACCGGGCCAUACGAACAGCCGAAAAACCUGUUCUUCUGUAAUAACUGCUUUGCCUACGUAGUAUUAUACGAACCAAACGAAAGAAGAAGCAGGAACAAACUCGUCCAGACGAUUUUCACAUCCGCAAAUUCCAAUCUCAAACUGUGUUAUGUAUACGUCAUAUAUAGCAGCUAAACAAUCGUGCGAUCGUUGAUUAAGCCGACGAAUAAUAACGCGUGUGUAUAAAAUAAGGAAGUCGAGGGAUACAUCGGUUCCUUAACUCGCUCCGGCACGAAUGGUCAAAAUCUUUUUAGGAUAUACAUAUUAUAUAUAUAAACGAGAUAUUUAGAUUAAGUAAAAAGCGAUUGCGAGUGGCGGGCCGUUCCGAAGAAAUAGGGAUCAAGCUUAUGUUUUUUCUCGAAAAUCGUCAUAAUUUUACUUUUUACUCAACUGACAAAUCUGUUCAAACCUCUUCAAAUUUUUUUUCUUUUUAAAAAUUCGCCUUCGAAGCAUAUACCAUUGUAAUAUGAACUCGCGGAAAAUUUUAUAUAGUAUUUGGAACGGCCCACAGUCGAUCGGCAUUUUAUGUGAUACUCUAACGUACAAAAAAUCGUUCGUCGCAUUAGGUUCGUUCGGAUCAUGAUCUUUUAGAACGUGGGAUGUGAUUAGAGGGAAAUCCGAAAAAUGCACAUACACUGAGCCCCGAAGAGAAGGGAACGGAAGUCUCUUCGUCCUCUUGUUUCUUCGUCAUACCACUCGAUCGAUUAUUAUUAUUUCGUUGUAAUUUUUCUUAAAUUUAAUACUCCGGGAUGCUGUUGCGCUCUCGUAACGCCAGCUCCCUGCCAAAAAAGAUCUCCUAUUCGUAUCUUAUUAAGUUGUGUAAUUCUUGUCCGUUUUAUAUGCCCUAUAAUAACGACAAAUCAUUUUUUACACUGUGUUCAGACGCGAAAACAAAUUUAUUCCACGCGUACAAACCAUACACGAAAAAACAGAAAAAAUAUAAAAAAAAAUUGUUUACUUUUAUCCUCUGAAAUCUUAUUCUCGGAACACCUUUCUUUCUUCCUUUCCUUUCUGUACCGACCCUCUCUCCACUACGUAUACUCGCAUCGGGAGAAAGCGAAGAUCGUUUACGCGACAGAUUUUUUUCGGGAGGGAAACAAAUACGACUUGAUAGCUCGACUUGAAGCCCGUCUUAACUCGAUCUCCGACUGUAAAUACAAAACUGCGAUUCGACCAUUUUAAAAAAAUCCGUAGGACCGUCUUUUUGCAGUUUCUCGGGCGACGAGCGCGAAAUGGCGGACGCAACGCUUAAAAAGACGCAAAGUCUCCUUUCGGAGCUCUGCUGGUGAAUAAAAGCGUCCGUCCGAUUUCGCGCUCGUCGUCCAUGUGGCGAAACACACACACACACACACACAUGCACAAACAUACAUACACAUGUGGUGUCGUAACUUUCGAAAUUUGCGCGUGGCCGAGCAAAAAAUUACCGAAAGUGCCGACAGCGACACCGCACGAUUGAAAAAAAGGUCAAGUAGUUUUUAAGCGAGCGUAGCUGUUAAGAACAACCGAGUUUAAAAAGAUUCCAAAUAAACACAACUGUAAGGAGGGAGAAGGAGGUGAUAUUAUAUCCAAACAUAUUGAGCGUCAGGGCGACGGGCGCGCGAGAGAGACACACAAUAUGCAAUCACAUACAUUUGUACAUAUAUACAUAAAUAACGCCCCGAGAGCGAAGUUCUUUUUGUAAAUUUUUGCGAAAACUUUACAAAGCGAGAAGCCUUCGCCGAGAGACUACUUCUUUUUGUAUAGAGACUCGCACACACGUACACUUGAUGAUACAGUCGAUUUUACGAAUGGAUAUACAUGUAUAUCUACGGAACAGCGAUUACACGUCGCCCUGAUGACGAAGGCCAGAAAGCAAAGAAAAAAUAAAAUAAACGGCCGUGCGCGAGAAACACCAGCGGACGAAAAUAAACCAUCUACUUUUCUCCCUCCUUUGCCUUAGAAUUUAACUGAGAGGAUAAGCGUUUUUAGGGUUUCGCGAAGGCGUACAGACGCACAGAAACAGAGGAAUUUUUUUCGAGAAUCAAAACGAUGUUUUCGAGGCUUGCAACGAUGACAAAGAAAGCAAAAAAUAAAGUCCAAUUUGUCGCGGAAAUGAACAAUGAUGAAAUAACUGAUAAAAUAGCAAACAAAAAAUGAAAUAAACGCAAACACACACACUCACACACGCAUCUCCGUACUACUAUAUCGAAUUCGUUCUGUGCGCAUUCGCAAAUAGAGGCAUCGCUCUCGUCCCCGUAACGUCGCCUACUAUCCGCACACGUGUUUCAGCAUCGAGAUAAAAAAAAACUUUAAUUUAAAUGUCAAAAUAGAAUAUUUCGAACGACGUGGCUAUGGAAAAUUCACAAAGCGUAAAAGGUUACCCGAGAGCUUACGAUCACACAGUGUAUACCUAGAGAAAAGCAACACGUGUGCGGCUAGAAGGACACGUCGUUUCCUGGACGCCAUCGCGAGCAAACUUUGUACAUUUAAGCGUAAGGAUUAUAAGAAAAAGUGCGAGGUGUGUAUAUAUAUAUAUACAUACACUAUAUUAAAAUGAGAGAAACACACAUACAGACAGUGAGGUUACGGCGCGAGACGCGACAAGUUUCGCGAGCGCAAUUUUUUCGCCCGCCGCCGGUUAAUGCGGCGGAACGUACUGACUACAUUUUAGAGCGAGCGGAACAGAUUAUUCGAGAUAUAUAGGCGAGCGCAAAAUUUGUGAGUGCGACGAUAUAUUCGAUACGCGAAUUGUAUAUUGAUUGUGUCUGACCGAAAGACAGGAGAGCGAAGCGCGCAUGGUUAAAAAAAAAAUAACAGAAGACGUCUCGAGAACAACACUCGAGAUGGAUUACACACUAUUAUAUUAUAGAAUUACGAAGAUUUGCAGAAGAAGAAAAAACGAACUGUGCGCAAGCAUGAUUCAUUCGACGUGGAGAAGCGGACAAAAAACAUGAUAAAAACACACAAGAAUAGUGCGCGAGUGCUUCCUGAUGAUUAUCGUUAUCAUUGCAACAACCACAAAAUUAAACUGCGAGUUUUUAUUUCGAAACGAUCUACUGUAUACAUUCGCGUCUUUCGGCCUCGUUAUAUUCGAUGUAUUAUUAUAUCUCUGUAAAUUUGUUGUUCGUUUUUAGCUGAAAGACAAGGAAAAAAUUAUCGUCUCUGUAUUCUCUGAUUGUAAACGCGCAAACUUCGGGAAAAGCGCGCGCGUGGAUGAGCUUUCACGAAGAGUAAAUUCGUACUAAAUACACGUGCCUCAUUGUGCUUGGGCAUACGCGGAAAAAAUGUGUCAAAGUUUUUUUUUUGAAAAUCGACUGGAUAUUUUUGGAUCAUCGAUAAGGGAAAGCCGAUCAUCCGCGCGCGCGCAUUUCCGCGAGCCCUAUAUAUCAUCAUUAUUUGUUUCUUCAUUUGUUUUCCUAUCGAUUAACACCGUAUAAUAUUUCAUUUGUAAAAUUCGGCGAUUCGUCGCAGUUCUAAGCGCAUUACACGUUGUCACUGUAUUAUUCUCAUCUCCACCGAUCGAGGCAUUUUUACGUUUGUUUUUACAUUUUAACGCGAGAGAAAGAAAGCGAGCGAAAGAGAGAGAGAGAGAGAGAGAGUCUAUAUGAGUUGUAUGCGAGCGAAAAUGUUUAUUCGUAAGGAGAGCGUUAUUAUAUUAUAUACAAACUAUAUAUGUAUACACAAACACACACGUAAUGUAUGAUAAUUUUUAAGACGAAGAGGAGGUUUUCAUUUUUUUGUUCAAUUCGCGCGUCGAAGAUAGAGACAUUAAUGUAAAGUAAGAGGUUAACGAAGAGGAGGAGAAGACGCAAGGAAAGCGGCGGUCCGUUCCUUGAUUCUUUGAGUGCAAAAGCAAAACUAGACAAAAGGCGUUAGAGAUAAGGCGUUUAAGUUUUAAGCUGCGAAUCACUGUGAUUUCCGUUCAAGAAUUCAUUUGCCGUAUAAAAAAGAAAAACAACCAACCGAUGAAAAUUUCUAAGUAUAAUCUCUCAGAAGACACGAUCGAGUCGUUUGCGUGUCGGUGACAGCGAUGGAAGGAAUAUCUUAGCAAACAAAGUACGAGGAAUAAAAAAAAGAGAAUGCAAAAUUUUAUCGAAUUGUAAAUAUAUAUACAUGUAUAGAAAUAUAUGUCGAUUGUGAUGCGAUUGCUUAUCGGACCAGGAGAUCUCUAUUGAAGAAGUACGAGGAUGAGACGCAAGAGUACCCAGUGAAAAAAAAGUAUUCGACGGAACGGAACGAGUUACUCGUACGGGCCGAGUGACGUCAACGAGAAGCAGAGUCGUCUCGCUAGGUCUCUAUUAUAGAAGAAACAAGCAAAGACGACGAUCCACCCGUCGACGGGAGGGUCCUCCACUUCUCGUUCACCUGUAUUCGGAUCGAGGAGAGACGGACCAGUUCACAGAGAUGGACAGGAUCGUGAUGAUGAGCUUCCCUCAAAGGGAGGCUAUAGCAAAAACGCAAAGCUUAUCGAGUAUUUCGAGUAAUAUAAAGGCUAUGGAACGGAGGUGAUAUAUACACGAAGGAUGAAACGAGGAAUCGGUAGGAGCCGUCCCGACACCAAGUGCCGACGAAGUAUAAUCCAGAUGAAACAAAAACAUAUAGCCGAUAUCGUAUUGGUUCGUUCACUGAUACAUAGCAAAAUCGUAUAUGUAUUUCACAUUCAACACAGAUCCCCACACACAUUACACACUCGUAGAGGAAAAAAAGAAGACACACGCAUACACACUGAAUUCAGCAGGCAUAAUUAAGGAUAAUAAUGGAAGUCUACACACAAUAUUUGCAGAAGUUGACUAACGCCUAGAAUUUCUACACGAACGAAGCGAGUUUUGUUCGACGAUUCGAAGCUGACAAGAGAGAAUGGCAUCGGUUGAAAAUUAGAUGUGAUGUGAGGCAAGCGGAGCUUAAUGGAGACAAGGGCGCGAAUGUUUGUAAAAUACGAGGACGCUUCUGCAGUGGCAAAGCGCCUCGAAUCGAUUGUAUGCGAGCGAGCAGAGUAUGUAAAACCGCGCGAGUGUGAGGGCGCGACAGGGCUCCGAAGUAGCCCGGCCUCGGCAAACAUAUAUAAAAAAGCCAGCCGGGACAACCGCGCUCCCCGUUUAUUGUUCCGGGAAGCUCGGCAAGUAAGUCGCGAGCUCGUCCGCCGCCGCGUGACUGUGAUAAUACCAAACCAUAAAAAUGUAAAAAUUGUCUCUUUGCAAGAAUAGGCAACCAAAAAAAAAAAUAUUGUAUCCGCACGCCUAAGUGCGUCCGAGAGCGCGUUUGUUGUUUCGUGUAUGUAAGAGUGAGAGUGUGCCAGAGCGCGUGAGAUGAUCAGCAAGAUAAGGCGAUGAAGAGUUCGAUAAGACGAUGAGAGGAUGGAUCUUUGCCUAAUCCCUACGUAGAAGUAAGCAUAUGGCAGGUGAAAAGUUUAAGAGCGACGACAGGGUUGUCUUCCAGCGAGGACGACGCGCUAGCGUGCAAUAGAAAAACAAUGUGUUCCGUGAAGUGCUGCAGAGAGAAGAUACCCGCGUUUGCCCAAGCUUUACUGAAGAUGAUGAAGAUGAAGGAGUUCGUAGUUUUUAAGAGAAGAAGAGAAAGCGAAGAUGCUUCAAGCAAGCGGAGAGCAGAAUAAAUUCAAUCAACCAUAUACAGUUCAUAUUAGAUUAUUCUACACACGACCUCAUCGAUGCUCAUAGCCGUGAAAUUACGGUUUUGUUUUGUACAAAAAAAAAAAAAAUAGUUUUUUCGGCCUCCGGAUCAGUUAUGAAAAUUCUACACUGUUAAUCCCCUCCCCCCAUCCCCCUUUUCCCUAAAAUCACUUUGUGUGCGCAGAUAUCAACAUCAUCCCAAUGGUACAUUUUAAACAUGACGGAUCCAAAAUUUGGAGUCACACGUUACGCCCGGAGGCUUGGCUGCAAAAUUCAAGAUUAUUUUAUUGCUUUGUUAUACACAUAUUUGUUUUAUCAAAAAUGCAAAAAGAAGAAAACAAAAUUUCAACACAAGUGUACCUACCCCCUGCAAUUCCUCUCCAUAGAUUAAUCCAAAUUCACAAUUUUCCGCCCCUUUCCCCAGGGCCCUACACAGGGCCCGCAAUUUAGUAAAAAUGAAGUACAAACUAUUUUCGUUUGCCUCGCGAGAUAUAAAAAAACUGCCCUUUUCAGGGCAAAUGGAACAAACAAUCAGUCCUUUUCAGGACUAAUAUACAUUCAUUUAUUUUUAUACGUAUGCGCAAACUGCCCUUGUCAGGGCAAAACUUAUUUUCAGCCUGGCCAAAUCUCAUGGACGUUGGCUUUCCACCGGACGAAGAACCCUGGGGGGUCGAGAAGAGGCGGCGAUUACCAACGUCCCACAUUCCAUCCGAGAGUCGGAGGCUUCCCUGAAGCAGUUUCCCAACCGAUGCUUCGAGAGUUACGAGGCGGAGCAACAGUUACUUCAAAUUGAAGAUUGUACCGAGGGUCAACAUUGUCAGCAACAGCAGCUGCAGCAGCAACCUCUGGAGUCGACAACAAUGGAAAGAUCGAGAAGCAGUGUGAUGGAGCUCGGCCUAAUUUUUCGAAGAUUGAAAUAGCAUUGUUUUUAUUGGAAUUACUUCGAAGCCAACAACAGGAGCAAAAUCGCCGGGCUCGGAAUUAUUCAAUAUGCAAACUGUGCUUGGUCUACGCCGCGCAGCAAACGCAGCAAAAUUCGUCCAGAGGCAAACAUCGUCUGCGCAACUAUCGAUCUUCGCUACAGCACCAACAGUAUUACGCUUUUUGGAAUUAUUGACGAAUAAUUCACAAAAAAGUGUUGAAAAUUCCCGUUCAACCAAAAAAUUCAGAUAUUACUUUUAGGACAAUCAUUUGGAUGUUACCAAAUUAAAAAAAAAAUAAUUUAAAGCAAAUAAAUCUAUAUUUUCGGAUCA